rnacentral:rRNA from 1 species
CAGCUUGCUGCUUCGCUGACGAGUGGCGGACGGGUGAGUAAUGUCUGGGAAACUGCCUGAUGGAGGGGGAUAACUACUGGAAACGGUAGCUAAUACCGCAUAAUGUCGCAAGACCAAAGAGGGGGACCUUCGGGCCUCUUGCCAUCGGAUGUGCCCAGAUGGGAUUAGCUUGUUGGUGGGGUAACGGCUCACCAAGGCGACGAUCCCUAGCUGGUCUGAGAGGAUGACCAGCCACACUGGAACUGAGACACGGUCCAGACUCCUACGGGAGGCAGCAGUGGGGAAUAUUGCACAAUGGGCGCAAGCCUGAUGCAGCCAUGCCGCGUGUAUGAAGAAGGCCUUCGGGUUGUAAAGUACUUUCAGCGGGGAGGAAGGGAGUAAAGUUAAUACCUUUGCUCAUUGACGUUA